CUUAGUUCGGGCAGAGACAAAAGCAGAAUUAAAGCAACUAAAAGCAGAUGUGAGCUUUCUGUAAGUCAAAGCAAAAUUCUGACUUAGUAAGAGAAUUGAUAAUGCAUGCAAAGUAGCAAGGAGGGUCAGACACAGACAUGCCAAAUGGCACAAGACAAGUUGUCCUGACAUGGAUUUUAGGAUUAGAGGCAUUUUAAGUUUAAUCCAGCAACCUGGGGCUUCCUAAUCAACCCACUCAAUCUUCCUGGGAGGCCUCUGAUCUACAGGGUUCGGAAAAUUAUCAGAGAACUAUUACAGUACAACAACAAAGCAGACAAGAGAGAAGUGGCUAGUUACUUAAACUUUUCAGCAGGUCUUUAUUCAGGAAAAAAGAAGGAAUAUAAAUUCAACCCAGUUUUGUCUGCUGCUCCAGCUCUGAGAACCAUCCUGCUUACUAAGAACAAGCUUCCUGAUGGCAGUUUGGCCAGGAGGGGACGAUCUGCUUUCCUGAUUAAGUAUCUCUGCUGAAGCAUUACUGCUUUCAGUGAUGACUGUCCUUUUUAAAAAUGACUAUGUUUUUGAGUCUCACCUUCCCUCAGGAAUGUAAUGGGCUUCUUAAGAAACUGGAGUUGCAAGGUAAGCUGUUUACUUUUUUUUUUUCUUCUGCUAAGAAGGCAAUUAUGCAGUCCUGUUGGACAAGUUUAUAAUAUGAUUAAACAGUCAACAUUAAAUCAAAUGGUGAUCGAAUCCCCAAGAGGCAGUUUACCUUCACAGUACUUUUGAGAUACUGAAUUGUAUUUUCAAAUGUCUUUGCACUGAACUAUGAAGAAGGAAUUGCUAAUGUUUUUAAGAUUGCUGGGCCCGGCCACCAGAGAUUCUAAGACUGAGAAUUUGCAUGUUUUACAAAUUCUCAAGUGAGGUUGAUGCUGUUCUUUUGGAGACCACACUUUGAGAACCUUUGCCUGAGAAAACAAUUUGGAGAAAAAUGGAGCCAUCUGAAUACAGAAACCAUUUUUAUUUCUGCAUAUAGUUUGCCAUGAAUGAACUAAGUCAGCAUUUCUCUGAAGGCUCUUGGAGUCUUUGCAAGAAAAUUAUGACCUGAAGAAAUGAUUAAACGUAUAGACUUUUAUGCUAGGUUUGAUGAAGAAUGUAUAAAAAUGGAGAAAUAUGAUUAAAGAGUGUGAUCUAAUGGUAAUAAACCAGAGGGAAAUUUAGCAAGGACUGUUUGUUCACAUUCUUCCCUAUGACUGUUUGUCUUCAAAGAUAAGGACACUUGUUUUCUCUGGGUAUAAGAAGGGUGACUCUAAAAUGAGGGUCUAUGACCUGCUUCAGGGGAAGGUCAGAAAAUCCUUCUCAGGUUUUAGGACCUUUUUCAGAAAAGAAGAACAGGGGAAGGUGAGAGUGUCCUUCCUACUUCUACUGUUUUUUUCAGAUGCCAAGGUGCCAUAUAUUAGGGUACCACGUCCUGAACCCCAUCAGUGGGACUCCUAUGUCUCCCUGGAGUUCAUUGUCAUCAAGCCUUUCUGAGUUCAGGAAGCAGACUGGUUUCAUACGUACAUACAACCUACUUAUUCUAAGUCUCAGUUUCUUCCCAUUUAAGUGAUUAUUGCACAGCAUUUAGUAUGUGCCCAAGAAAAAACCUUAUGCCAUAUUAUUAUUGUUACUCUUUUAUUUCUAAAAUAUUCACUUUAUUUUGGAUAUCAAUUUAGUUAUUGUUAUCUUUCUGAGGAACAACUAUGAGAAUUUUUAUGAAAACAAGAUAAUAAUAGUACAGUUCACCCUUGAACAACACAGGUUAGAACUGCAAAGGUACAUUUAUAUGUGGAGUUUCUUCCAUCUGCCACCCCUGAAACAGCAAGACCAAACCCUGAUCUUCCUCCUUCUCUUCAGGCUACUAAAAGUGAAGACAGUGAGGAUAAUGACCAUAUGAUAUUCCUCUUCCAUUUAAUGAAUAGUAAAUAUAUUUUCUCUUCCUUAUUGUUUUCUUAAUAACAUUUUCUUUUUUCUAGUUGACGUUAUUGUGAGAAUACAGUAUAUAAUACACGCAACAUGCAAAAUAUGUGUUAAUCAACUUUUUAGGUUUUUGGUAAGGUUUCUGGUCAACAGUAGGCUCUUUGUAGUUAAGUUUUUGGGAAGUCAAAAGUUAAACAUGAAUUUUCAACUAUGAGAGAGGAUCAAUACCCAUAAUUCCAAGGGUCAACCGUGAUAAUACUAUCAGGUAAAAUUUUUUUAGAUAAGUAUGUGCCUAGUACUCUUCAAAGAACUUUACAUUUAAUCUUUACCAUGAUCAUGUAAAGGAAGUGCAAUUAUUAUCUUUAUUUUAUAGAUGUUAUAACUGAGGCAGCCCAUUCUCCCAUGGUUUUGAAGAGUUUUGCAGUAGACCUAGGACCCAAAUCUAGGACAUCUGACCCUUCUUUUUUUUUUUAUUAUUAUUAUACUUUAAUUCUAGGGUACAUGUGCACAACAUGCAGGUUUGUUACACAUAUAUACAUGUGCCGUGUUGGUUUGCUGCACCCAUUAACUUGUCAUUUACAUUAGGUGUUUCUCCUAAUGCUAUCCCUCCCUGAUCCCUCCACCCCAUGACAGGCCCGGGUGUGUGAUGUUCCCCUCCCUGUGUCCAAGUUUUCUCAUUGUUCAAUUCCCACCUGUGAGUGAGAACAUGUGGUGUCUGGUUUUCAGACAUCUGACCCUUCUAUACCGAGUGAGCUUCACUGAUAUUGCAUAGAGAUAAGAAAGUAGAGACCUUUCCCAAAGUGUUCUUUGCUGACUUGUUCAUCACUUAGCAAGUCUCAGGAGGAGUGGCCCUGUUAAAAUUUAUCAAUAGUAGUUAUACGCUAACAUAUCUUAUGCAUAAAUGAAAACAGAUGCAGUACAGAGACUGAAUUGCCUUCCCAAACCAUGGUGAGAUUCAGUAGUUUUAUUGGGCUCAGGAUAGCGUAAUAUCUGAGUGUAGAACGGGAAUAAAGAUUAUCUAGAUCUGAAUCUUGGCUCUGCCCUUUACCAUAAAUAUGACUGAGUUAGCUGCUUAAUUCCAAGCCGCUUAAUCUCUAUGAGGCUCAGUUGCCUCUUAAAAGGUAUAUUAAUGAUUUAUAUGUCUCAGUGUUUUUGCAAAAGAGUACACGAAGUGCUUAGUAAGUUUUCAAUAAAUGGAAGUUAUUAUCAUUAUCAUUAUUAUGCAUCUUGGAAGGCCCAGAAGAACUCUUAACGUGACAAUAGCUGCUGAUGACGCUAAAGAGAGAAACAAAGGAGAGCUUUUUCUUAUUUAUGCAUAUCAAACCUAAAAGUGUUAAUAAGGAGGCAGCAGGACAGCAAAAGAAAAAAAAUGAAACAGAGAAAGCAACAUAGCUGUAAGAAAGGAAUCUCAUUAUCAAACACAUGUAUUCAGGGAUUUUGAGUAUUUAUUUCAAAGUAAAAAGCGUUUUUUUUAUUGAAAAUAUUAGUAAACAAGUAAACAUUUAGGAGAGAUAAUGUAAUGCCCAAUGAAAACCUUCAAUAGUGCAACUAUAAGUAGUAGUCACUUGUUUUAGUUAUAUUAAUGUUAAUUUUGUAGUUUAAUAUGUCUUUCUAAAGACGACAUGGAUGGGUAUUUUUAAAAAAGUAUUUGUCAUGUUAUUUUAUUCUUUAGUAGAAUUUUACUAUUUGAUGGAUACAGCUUGAUGUCCAGUACUAUUUGACAUAAAACACAUUGAUGAGUCAUUAGGCUGAUCAUUGAAAUCCUGUUGAAAAAUAUUUUUAAAGUCACUUGUAAAUAAAAUAUACAAAUGUAAAACUGAACAACAUUCAUCAGCUAAAUUUAGUUUACAAUUUCUUUUAAACAUUUACUGGAAAGUCAAAAAUGUCAAGCAUAUUAAAAUGCUGGCCUGACAGAAGCCCUAAGGGAAAACUGUCAGGCCUCUGAGCCCAAGCUAAGCCAUCAUAUCCCCUGUGACCUGCACGUACACAUCCAGAUGGCCAGUUCCUGCCUUAACUGAUGACAUUCCACCACAAAAGAAGUGAAAAUGGUCUGUUCCUGCCUUAACUGAUGACAUUAUCUUGUGAAAUUCCUUCUCCUGGUUCAUCCUGGCUCAAAAGCUCCCCUACUGAGCGCCUUUUGACCCCCACACCUGCUCCCCCUUUGACUGUAAUUUUCCUUUACCUACCCAAAUCUUAUAAGACGGCCCUAUCCCUGUCUCCCUUGGCUGACUCUCUUUUCGGACUCAGCCCGCCUGCACCCAGGUGAAAUAAACAGCCUUGUUGCUCACACAAAGCCUGUUUGGUGGUCUCUUCACACAAACGCGCAUGAAAUUUGGUGCCAUGACUCGGAUCGGGGUACCUCCCUUGGGAGAUCAAUCCCCAGUCCUCCUGCUCUUUGCUCCGUGAGAAAGAUCUACCUAGGACCUCAGGUCCUCAGACUGACCAGCCCAAGGAACAUCUCACCAAUUUCAAAUCUGGACCCCACUGAAAAUCGGACUGUUCAACUCAUCUGGCAGCCACUCCCAGAGCCCCUGGAACUCUGGCCCAAGCCUCUCUGACUGACUCCUUCCCAGAUCUUCUCGGCUUAGCAGCUGAAGACUGACACUGCCCAAUCGCCUUGGAAGCCCCCUAGACCAUCACGGAUGCCGAGCUUCGAGUAACUCUCACAGUGGAGGGAACGCGCAUGAAAAAACCAAACAAACAAAAAAAUUUCUUUUGGUAGCAGAAUAAAAAAACAAAAAAAAGGACUUUUUCUUCUGGACUGAACUAUAUUUAAAUCUCAAAGGAUGGACAUCUCACAACCUUCCUACAGCAAGUACUGUGAGCCAUGUAAAGGUGUGCUGCUUUCCCUUUGCCUUCCGCCAUUAUUGAAAGUUUCCUGAGGCCUCCCCAGCCAUGCUACCUGUACGACCUGUGAAACCAUAAGCCAAUUAAAAAAGAUACUAGCGCCAGUCUGGCAGGGGCCUUUUCUAGUCUCAAGCACGCUGAGCAGUCCUACACCUUGCCUUCUGAGAGAGAAGAGGACAGUCCUCAGCCUCCUGAAGCCUGGCAAGGGUGCCUUAGUGAGGACAUCACCUGCAACUCCCAGAUGGAUAGACGAGGCCAUGGAGAGAGGAGAACACCAACCCAUGAGUGACAAGUGCCUGUCAUUGUCAAUGAUGCUGCAAGCACCACGAUGCCCCUUCUUAGCAGGGACCCAGUGGGCCUUACCAGCUUCAUUAUUUUCUAGGCAUGAUCGCAUCCUGUCUCCCAUUUUUGCUAAAAUUCUAUCUAGAGAAAGAGCUCAUUUUUAGCUAAAAAAAAAAAAAUCCUGUUUUAUCUGCUAAAAAAUCACAUAAAAUAACUAUUGGACUGUUUGAAAUGGCGUGGCCUCUGCUCUGACUUAUUAACUGUGAUCUUGACUAAGUUAAGCAGUCACUCUGACCUUACGUUACUCCCUCAAAUUUGAAUAAAAAUAGCAACUUCCUCUACUUAUAAAUUACUUCUAAAAAUUAGAUUCUUGAGAUUCAAAGAUAGGUAAUACCUGCCUUCAAGAAACUAACUCUCAAGGCUGCUGUAUGGAAAUCCUGCCUCCUAACUAGAUUGCACUCUUCUAAAUGCUGUACUACUGCUAUACACAUUCUCCAAAUCAAGUUAAUUUCAAAGUCUUGCUGAAUCUACUUUUUAGAAAUAUCUAAGUCAUGUGUACGUCUUUCCAUUCCUGCAUCCCAGGGGAUUGCAGCCAUCAGCUCACCUCCUCUCCUAAUCCAAAAUGUUCCUAACUGGUCUCCUGCCUUGCCUUUCUCCUGAUCACUUCCUACAACAGAGUGAUCGUGACUUGAAAUGCAAAUUAUAUUGUAUGAGUUAUCUCCCAAAAACAUUCAGCUGCCUAGCUCCCUUAACAUGAAGUCCAAAUUGCCCUAACAUGGAGUCCAAAUUUCGUUAGCAUGGUUUAAGAGUCUCUUCAUGAACAAAAGGCUUCUGUCUUCUCCAGUCAUACCCAAAUCUUUCCUAAUCAAAAGCCAUUUUUAUCAGUUUAAGAACAGAGACAGUUGUUCCAGAUAUAAGGAAGAGCAUUGGCAAAGUUGCAGAUAAUAAUUUAGGUGAGUGUGAUUCAGAGAUCUCAUUAGUGAUGCCUCAGAAUGACUAGGAGACAUGGAUAAAAGGAUAACAAGAAAGAAAAGGAGACCACAAAACCACAGUCCAGAUUGUAGGAGGCUUGGGUUGUGGUAAUGAGCUGGGACUUCUCUGCUGGCUAUCAGGAGUCCUCAUCUAUGAUCUGCUAGAAGAAUAUCAUGAUUAGAACUGCAUUUUAGAAAGUUAAGUCUAGUGGCUGCAGAGCAUACAUAUAGAAGGUAGAGCUUUGAGUCCACAAGAACAUUAUGGUUUAAUAAAACUCUGUGAGAGAGAUUAGAGCACAAACAAAGGCAGUCAUAAUGGAAAUGGAAAGAAAGUUAAAGGCUAAAGACUCCAGAGACAUUUUGAAAAAUGUGGGAAAUUAGGAGAGGAGCUGCAUCAAUCAGGACAUCAGUGUUACUGAUUUGCGAGACUAGGGAAUUAGGAUGUUCUUGAUGAAAGUGAGCAAAGGAAUUUUGCAGAGAUCAGAGUAGAACUUUUUUUUUUCCCUGAAAGCAUUCUGAAAACUGUAAACACCCUACUGCAUAAGAUAUCAUCAUCAUUAUUACUAAGCAGUCCUAUGUUAAUAGCCCUUUGGGUCUAGAGCUUGAAUUAUGCGCUAUACCUUGUACUUGAAAGAAACUAUAUCCUGACUAGUCCAGAUGGAUAUUACUUAACCUGCUUUAAGAUCCUCUAGGGAGGAACAACCACAACAAAUCCAAGAAAGGUCCCCUUCCUAGCAACUGUGCAUCCUUCCAGCUGCCUUAUCAAUGAUAUCAUCCCUUCGAUAUGUUACAGAGUCCAUUUGGACAAUUUUUAAAGGGACUCAUGACAUUCUGGUAAAAGAGAAUUAUGAUUUCUGGACUCUUUAAAAUUCAAAUGUAGGGGGAAAAAAAGCAAGUCUUCUGUUUGAUCAUAAAAGCUAUAAAGAUGCAAAGAGAGAAAGGUCCAUUCUAGCAUUUCAAUAAUAUCUGUUUUCACUGAAAACCUGAGCUGACUUUAAUCAUCUACACUUCAGACUGGGCUAAUACCUCAGAAAGCUGCAAAUACUGUGAACGCUGUCACACUAGCACAAAGCCUUUGCAAAAAUUUCCCCAAAAUACACAGAUUAAAAAGCACAUUUUCUCUCUCUCUGUUUUCCUCUCUCUCUCUCUCUCUCUCACACGCACACACACAUACACAUGCA
rnacentral:lncRNA from 10 species